UGGGAGACCCGGCGCGUGGGGAGAACGGGAUCGCGCGGCGGGAGGCGAGGUGCCGGCUAGGCAGCCGGAGCGCUCUGCAGGGAUGAGAUGAAGCACACUGCCUGAAAUGUAAAGAGUUACACUGUAUAAUUCAUCUUUUAAAAAAAGAAAAAGAAAAAGAGAUAU